AGUGGCGGACGGGUGAGUAACGCGUGAGAAUCUACCUUCAGGACGGGGACAACAGCUGGAAACGGCUGCUAAUACCCGAUAUGCCGAAAGGUGAAAAGUUUUUUCGCCUGGAGAGGAGCUCGCGUCCGAUUAGCUAGUUGGUGAGGUAAAAGCUUACCAAGGCGACGAUCGGUAGCUGGUCUGAGAGGAUGAGCAGCCACACUGGAACUGAGACACGGUCCAGACUCCUACGGGAGGCAGCAGUGGGGAAUUUUCCGCAAUGGGCGAAAGCCUGACGGAGCAACGCCGCGUGGGGGAAGAAGGUUUUUGGAUUGUAAACCCCUUUUCUCAAGGAAGAACAAAAUGACGGUACUUGAGGAAUCAGCCUCGGCUAACUCCGUGCCAGCAGCCGCGGUAAUACGGAGGAGGCAAGCGUUAUCCGGAAUUAUUGGGCGUAAAGCGUUCGUAGGCGGCUGUUCAAGUCUGCUGUCAAAGACCGAGGCUCAACCUCGGGUAGGCAGUGGAAACUGGAUAGCUAGAGGUCGGUAGGGGCAGAGGGAAUUCCCAGUGUAGCGGUGAAAUGCGUAGAUAUUGGGAAGAACACCGGUGGCGAAAGCGCUCUGCUGGGCCGAACCUGACGCUGAGGGACGAAAGCUAGGGGAGCGAAUGGGAUUAGAUACCCC
rnacentral:rRNA from 1 species